ACCUGGUUGGCUCAGUCAGUAGAGCAUGUGACUCUUGACCUCAAGGUUGUGAGUCUGAGCCCCAUACUGGGUA
rnacentral:tRNA from 1 species